GUGGCUUCCGGAGCUAACGCGUUAAGUCGACCGCCUGGGGAGUACGGCCGCAAGGUUAAAACUCAAAUGAAUUGACGGGGGCCCGCACAAGCGGUGGAGCAUGUGGUUUAAUUCGAUGCAACGCGAAGAACCUUACCUGGUCUUGACAUCCACAGAACUUUCCAGAGAUGGAUUGGUGCCUUCGGGAACUGUGAGACAGGUGCUGCAUGGCUGUCGUCAGCUCGUGUUGUGAAAUGUUGGGUUAAGUCCCGCAACGAGCGCAACCCUUAUCCUUUGUUGCCAGCGGUUAGGCCGGGAACUCAAAGGAGACUGCCAGUGAUAAACUGGAGGAAGGUGGGGAUGACGUCAAGUCAUCAUGGCCCUUACGACCAGGGCUACACACGUGCUACAAUGGCAUAUACAAAGAGAAGCGACCUCGCGAGAGCAAGCGGACCUCAUAAAGUAUGUCGUAGUCCGGAUUGGAGUCUGCAACUCGACUCCAUGAAGUCGGAAUCGCUAGUAAUCGUAGAUCAGAAUGCUACGGUGAAUACGUUCCCGGGCCUUGUACACACCGCCCGUCACACCAUGGGAGUGGGUUGCAAAAGAAGUAGGUAGCUUAACCUUCGGGAGGGCGCUUACCACUUUGUGAUUCAUGACUGGGGUGAAGUCGUAACAAGGUAACCGUAGGGGAACCUGCGGUUG
rnacentral:rRNA from 1 species